rnacentral:rRNA from 1 species
GAUGAACGCUGGCGGCGUGCCUAACACAUGCAAGUCGAACGGGAACUCUUUGAUGAAGUUUCGAUGGAUUCAGAGAAAUUCUAGUGGCGGACGGGUGAGUAACGCGUGGGUAACCUGCCCCAUAGAGGGGGACAACAGUUGGAAACGACUGCUAAUACCGCAUAGUAAUACAGAUCCGCAUGCUUCUGUAUUGAAAGCUUUAGCGCUAUGGGAUGGACCCGCGUCUGAUUAGCUAGUUGGUGAGGUAACGGCUCACCAAGGCGACGAUCAGUAGCCGGCUUGAGAGAGUGAACGGCCACAUUGGGACUGAGACACGGCCCAAACUCC